rnacentral:rRNA from 1 species
CGAACGGGUGAGUAAUGCGUGACCAACCUGCCCCAUGCUCCAGAAUAGCUCUUGGAAACGGGUGGUAAUGCUGGAUGCUCCAACUUGACGCAUGUCUUGUUGGUAAAGUGUUUAGUGGCAUGGGAUGGGGUCGCGUCCUAUCAGCUUGUAGGCGGGGUAAUGGCCCACCUAGGCUUCGACGGGUAGCCGGCCUGAGAGGGCGGACGGCCACAUUGGGACUGAGAUACGGCCCAGACUCCUACGGGAGGCAGCAGGA